GGUGGAGUGGCUCAAGUGGUAGAGCACUUGCCUAACAAGCGUGAGGUCCUGAGUUCAAACCCCAGUGCCACCA